rnacentral:lncRNA from 1 species
UUGAUGUUGAAACGGGGAAGAAAUUUAAUGUUAAACAAAACAUCCGUACUACUCUAUCAAUGGCUAUAAUCACCAUCGUGAGAAGUAGAAUAUCAGAUGUAAGGUCAUUAUGUAAAAAGAAAAAAAAGGAAAUAGUCAAGUGCAGGUUUAGCACAGGGGCACGGGAGAACGCAGGGGAAAGUCUGAGAGACUUGCAUACUGAUGGGGAGGUGAGGCAGGGACGGGGCCAGGAAGACAAGGCUGCUCAGGGCCCGGCAGUGGGCAGCUCCUUGCAGCAGGGAACUCAGGCCAGAUGUAGACCUUCCAGAGUCAGGCCUGUCAGAGGGACCCCCUGGAAGUGAAGGGGGAAGGGUGGGGCCAGAAUGGGGCUCUGCCACAAGGAACUCCCAGACAGGCUGCUGUCCUCCUCAGACAGGAAGGCGCAGGCCCAGGAGACAGGGAGAGCCUUCCUCCAGGUCUCCUGCCCUGCUGGGGCCUCAGCUGACAGCAAGCUGGGUCGCUUAGGAUGAUGAGGGCACUAAGAUGCUAGCGUCAGGGUCAGGGUCCACCACUGACUCCUCCUGCGAGACCCACAGCCGGCCCUCAGGGGUCCCCCUCGCUGAGGAUCAGCUCAGCGCCCCAUCUGACAUGGUUUGGAGCGACACGCAGAGACACAGAGGCAUGCUGACCCACGGAAGGCACCUUGGUCCUUGGGGCCUCUGAGUUUCGAAGCCUCUCCCACAUCCCUGGGUCAGCAGAUCAUCCCUGUCCCUGACAGACAGGUCAGACCUGGAGAAGGGAAACCUGGCCUGAUGCUGUGGUGUCGUCCCUGCAGGACAGGAGGUGAGGGCAGUUAAAGGAUGGGUCAAGGGGUGAGCAGGAGGGUAAAGGUCGCU